UGGGGAAUUUUGGACAAUGGGCGAAAGCCUGAUCCAGCAAUGCCGCGUGUGUGAAGAAGGCCUUCGGGUUGUAAAGCACUUUUGUCCGGAAAGAAAUCCUUGGCUCUAAUACAGUCGGGGGAUGACGGUACCGGAAGAAUAAGCACCGGCUAACUACGUGCCAGCAGCCGCGGUAAUACGUAGGGUGCAAGCGUUAAUCGGAAUUACUGGGCGUAAAGCGUGCGCAGGCGGUUUGCUAAGACCGAUGUGAAAUCCCCGGGCUCAACCUGGGAACUGCAUUGGUGACUGGCAGGCUAGAGUAUGGCAGAGGGGGGUAGAAUUCCACGUGUAGCAGUGAAAUGCGUAGAGAUGUGGAGGAAUACCGAUGGCGAAGGCAGCCCCCUGGGCCAAUACUGACGCUCAUGCACGAAAAGCGUGGGGAGCAAACAGGAUUAGAUACCCUGGUAGUCCACGCCCUAAACGAUGUCAACUAGUUGUUGGGGAUUCAUUUCCUUAGUAACGUAGCUAACGCGUGAAGUUGACCGCCUGGGGAGUACGGUCGCAAGAUUAAAACUUAAAUGAAUUGACGGGGUCAUAGCUGUUUCCU
rnacentral:rRNA from 1 species